AAUGGAUCUGAAUUGGUGGAGCUCCCGCUCCGAUCCGCUCCGAAUGGAACGGCAAGUGAGAACAAAAAAUAUAAAAAAAAUAUAAUCCGUCGUGAAUCCUGCUCAAACCGCCAACUAAAUGGAGCGGGAGGCGGGAGACUCUUUUUUUCCUUCAAUCCGUCCCAAUUCGUCAAAAAUCAGUCAAAAAUCCGCUCUCGUCCCGAUCCGCCUCAAAUGAGGCUGUAAGUGGAAGCCAAAAGUGAAAUAAAAAGCAAAUCGUCCAGAAUCCGUCCUGCGACGGUAAGAAAUGGAGCGGGAGGUGGGGGAGUCCUCCCGCUCUUGAAUCCGUCCCGUUUGCAUCCCUAAUUUACAGUUUAAUAUAAGAUAUUAAAUUAAUAUGAAAUAUCCAUUUUGCCCCUAAAUAACUCUAAGUGGCUAAAAUAUGGUACUAUAUUUAAUAUUAUAUAUUAUGCACUCUCUUUCCUAUCAGGGCUUGGAGAAAUGAUAUCAGAGUUCGAUCUAUGACAGGCUCCUAACUUUUAUAUAUUUUUUUUCUGAUUUAAUUUAAGUCGAUAAUUUAGGUCCAUCAAAAUGUCUCAAGCCCAAACACAAUAAACUAAUAUAUAAUUUGCAAAAAAAUAAUAUUUAUUUUGAGAGAUAAAAAAAUAAUAAUUUUAAUGUUAUAUAUCUGAUGCUUUUUUUCUUGUCUGAGCUCAGUAUUUUCACUCUGAUGUUACGAUGAAUUAUGUGAAAUAAUGGUUUAUUUCUAAAAGGUUAACUACAGAAUAUGGUAAUGUUUGAUAAUUAAAUUUAUAGGUUUGGAAUUGAAAAAAGGUUGAUUUUUAGAAUAGUUUGCUUAUCUUUUUGUGCCUACUUUCAUGUUAAAAUAAAAAAAUAAAAAUAAUUUUUAUGAAAAAAAUAUUUUUUUAUUUUAAAAAAUAAUGUUCAUUGAUAAGGAUAACAACGUGGCGGGGACGAAGAGCCCAUUCAAAUCCCCAUCCCUUCGUUGUAUCAGGGCCCACAUCCCUGUUAAUUAUGAUAUAUGAUAUUACUACAAAUAGAUAAUAAUUAAAUAUUAUUUAACAAGCAUCCUGUAUAAAAAAAUUAUCUGGGUUAAUCGAGUUCGGCUACUGUACUUUUAUGAGUACCGGUUCUUUUGUAUUCAAAAGUUUUCGACCGUUAGAUCUACUUUUUUGAUCAUUUACAUCCGUUUGAUCAUACUAUUCAACCAACAACCCAUUCAACCCUAGGGGACCACUACUAUCCUAACCGGGGAUCACUAUCAUCCUAACCGCACAUCUCUUCAUCUAACGAUCGAAAAUUUAUAAGUAUAAAAAGCUUUAUACUUAUAAGAGUAUAGUAGUUCUAGCCUGGGUUAAUCAUACGUGACUAAAUAAAAAGUAUAU
rnacentral:lncRNA from 1 species